rnacentral:rRNA from 1 species
UUUAUGGAGAGUUUGAUCCUGGCUCAGGAUGAACGCUGGCGGCGUGCCUAAUACAUGCAAGUCGAGCGAACGGACGAGAAGCUUGCUUCUCUGAUGUUAGCGGCGGACGGGUGAGUAACACGUGGAUAACCUACCUAUAAGACUGGGAUAACUUCGGGAAACCGGAGCUAAUACCGGAUAAUAUUUUGAACCGCAUGGUUCAAAAGUGAAAGACGGUCUUGCUGUCACUUAUAGAUGGAUCCGCGCUGCAUUAGCUAGUUGGUAAGGUAACGGCUUACCAAGGCAACGAUGCAUAGCCGACCUGAGAGGGUGAUCGGCCACACUGGAACUGAGACACGGUCCAGACUCCUACGGGAGGCAGCAGUAGGGAAUCUUCCGCAAUGGGCGAAAGCCUGACGGAGCAACGCCGCGUGAGUGAUGAAGGUCUUCGGAUCGUAAAACUCUGUUAUUAGGGAAGAACAUAUGUGUAAGUAACUGUGCACAUCUUGACGGUACCUAAUCAGAAAGCCACGGCUAACUACGUGCCAGCAGCCG